rnacentral:rRNA from 1 species
UCGAGCGGAAAGGCCUUUCGGGGUACUCGAGCGGCGAACGGGUGAGUAACACGUGAGUAACCUGCCCCUGGCUUUGGGAUAACCAUCGGAAACGGUGGCUAAUACCGAAUAUUCACUUUGGGCUGCAUGGCCUUUUGUGGAAAGUUUUUCGGCUGGGGAUGGGCUCGCGGCCUAUCAGCUUGUUGGUGGGGUGAUGGCCUACCAAGGCUUUGACGGGUAGCCGGCCUGAGAGGGCGACCGGCCACACUGGGACUGAGACACGGCCCAGACUCCUACGGGAGGCAGCAGUGGGGAAUAUUGCACAAUGGGCGGAAGCCUGAUGCAGCGACGCCGCGUGAGGGAUGACGGCCUUCGGGUUGUAAACCUCUUUCAGCAGGGACGAAGCGAAAGUGACGGUACCUGCAGAAGAAGCGCCGGCCAACUACGUGCCAGCAGCCGCGGUAAGACGUAGGGCGCGAGCGUUGUCCGGAUUUAUUGGGCGUAAAGAGCUCGUAGGCGGCUUGUUGCGUCGUCCGUGAAAACCUGGGGCUCAACUCCAGGCUUGCGGUCGAUACGGGCAGGCUAGAGUUCGGUAGGGGAGACUGGAAUUCCUGGUGUAGCGGUGAAAUGCGCAGAUAUCAGGAGGAACACCGGUGGCGAAGGCGGGUCUCUGGGCCGAUACUGACGCUGAGGAGCGAAAGCGUGGGGAGCGAACAGGAUUAGAUACCCUGGUAGUCCACGCUGUAAACGUUGGGCGCUAGGUGUGGGGGGC